UUUCUGUGACGCAACUUCCGCCAUCAACGGAAGCCGAGCUGAGCUGGCUGAGCGUCUUACGGUGUCGCUGCGGGCCGGGGCCGCGCCGCAGAGGGCCUGUCUACUGGAUCAAUCCUGAAGUUUCUCAAAAUCAAAAUUGCAUCUGUCUUUUGGCCUCCCGAUCCCGCUUUGGGGAACUUGUCCUAUAGAUGUGCUGCACGCGUCCGGAAGGUGUUUGUGUGAGGAUACGCGGUGCAGCCUUGCUCGUUGUUUGACAGACCAUCCCAAACGCGGUGUCUUAGGGCAGCGGUGGUUAGUUUCUCACGUUGGCGGCUCAGCCUGCAGUUCUGCUGGGGCCACGCCUGCUGCCUUCCGCCGGGAGCUCGGCUGGUGCUGGACCGUGCACGGGAGGCCGGAACGCUGGGGCCCGGCGGAGCCAGGCUGAGCCUCCCUCUCUACUGCGGGACCAGCCAGAACUGUGACCGCAUCGUCUGCCAGCCGCGAUGGGCAGAGAAAGACGCACGGCCCCCCAGCUUCAAGGGGGGAAGAGGCGGCGCGCACAUGCAGGGAUGGGAGGAAGUUUGGGUGGUCACCUUUGGAAAUCGUCUCCCUCAUUUGCAAUAACAAAAGAUUGCAGGCAACCAAAGUGUCCACCUAGAGGAGAAUGGUGAGAUCGACUGAGGGCACUGUAUCCAUAAGAAGAAAGAAUGGGACGCUCUCCAUGUGCUGAUGUGCACAGACGUCCGGGAUCGUUCAUUGCAGAUAGCACAGUAAAAUUUAGAGGAGAGACUAUGGCACUGUCCGUGCAAGGAAAAGGACAAACGAAGAAUGUGCAUUUGUGUAUGUUAGUGCCUGCAAAGGAAACUCCGCAGUGCAUCCCACAUUGUAGCAAGGUACUACUUUGUAACGCGGAAAGUCUGCAGCUUUUAGGAAUCACCCCUGAUCAUUGCUAAGAGGCAGCUGUACCUUGGCCACCUGGUUGGAAACCUACUUAACUGUCUUUGAGAAACGACGGCAUUCUCCUUUCACACCUGGCAGGGUCCUGGCAGCUUUGGGGCCUGUGCUUGUGGGCUGAGUCAGUCACAGGGCAGGAGGGUGAGGGGGCACCCCAGCGUCAGUGAAAUUUUCCUGGCCGAGUGGCCCAGAGGUUUCCAGGGUGGGACUUUCAUGGAUGUGCCAGCCAGGAGCCUUGGGCCCCAGGGUUGAGUCCACUUGGCAAGGGGGGGGGGGGCGCAGGUGGCAGGUGGCUCCUCGGGCUGCUGGAGGUUGUGGAGAAGGAUGGGAGGUGGACCCAGGGCAGAAGCUGCUGGCAGAAACACCAGUCAGCCAGGUCUCAUGAAUGCCAUGCUCCUACUGGUCCGAGUACAUUGAUAUUUUUAAUAAAUGCUCCCUAAAUACUUAAA